AAUGGGCUUGUGAUGAAUCUCAUCUUAACAAAUGGGUAAUUUGCGUCUGAAAUUCAUUGAUGCUAUAUCACCUUGGAGAACUGAUGCCCUUA
rfam:Glycine max cultivar Williams 82 chromosome 11, whole genome shotgun sequence.